AUGUGACUUUUUUGGAAUAUACCCUCGAAAGAUACUUUCUUUUUGGAUUUGAAAUAAUGCUUUUUCCAACAACAACAACCUAGUAUAACCCCACUUAUUGGGGUCUGAGAAGGGUAGUGUAUACGUAGAUCUUACCCCUACUCUAGGGUAGAAAGGCUAUUUCUAAAUAGACCCCCGGUAUCCUUUCCUCCAAGAACUUCCCACCUUGCUCUUGAGAAGACUCGAACUCAAAACUUCUCGAUUGAAAGUGGGGCUUGCUUACCAUCAUAGCAACCCCUCUUGUCAUUGAAAUAAUGCUUUUUCCAAUUAUCACAAUUCUUAUCUUCCUAUCAUUAACCAACACCUAUACGUUAUUAUAAAUAUACAAAAAUUUCAUCAAAACACUAUCUAUUUGAUUUGGUAAUAUCAAUCUUUAAUAUAUAAAUCCUUUUUCUAGAAAUAAUAUUUUCCACUCUCCAAUCAAAUAUUAUAAAAUAUUUUCAGCCAUACCCCACCCAAAGUUUCAGAAGCAUGUUUUUUUUUUUUUGUGAAGACCAAAUCUAAAUACUUUUUGAGUCAGAAAACAAUUCGAUGAACGUUUUUUCUCAAAAAAUAGCAUACAUAUAUUUUAUUUACAAAAGCAUCCUAGAAGAUAGUCCAAUUACAACAUUUAUCCUUAAUAAAGUUUUCCAAAAGAAAUAUUCAUAAAUAAUUAAAUCAAAACCAAAUUUAAAUGCGUAUACAGUCUAACUAACAAAGAUAGCCUUUUAUUCUUUUGAAUUUUCAUUUUUCUUUACCUUCGCCUGUCCAUUUAAAGAGCCUCACAGAAUGAGACGCUAAGGUAACUAAUAAGUUUAGAUGAUUGUGUCAUACUUCCCCUUUUUGGAACUGAACAUGAUAGUGUAGUUUAGGGGUGUACAUAGGCAUAGGUUGGGUUGCUUCGGAUAUUACAAUUAUCAAAUCAAAUUAAUUGAUUUUUCUCGGGUUUUCGGGUUAUUCAGGCUUUUUCAGAUUUUUUCCGGUAAAAUCUUCGUAGAACAAAACGUAUAACGUAUGCUCAAAAUAUUUCUUUAAUCCUAGUAAGAUACAUUAUAUAAAGUAUUUUCCAAGAAAAUAAUACAAAAUAUGAGAUGCGCCAUGACAUUAUCCUAUAAUAUUCAACAAUAAACACAAUAAAAUUAUGUCAUAUACAUAUUGCUAAUUAAAAAGCCAUAACAAAAGUAAACAUAAUCUAAAAUCACUAAGUCAUGCUAAAAAAAUAGACUAAUAAUAACUGUCUCUCCUUUUAGUUGUAUGCUACUUAGCACAAGAUCUUCAAACAUUUUGUAAUCUCACAACAUUCAGUAGUGUUAUUGACUAAACAGUCAACUUUAUGUUUUUUUUUUAAAAAUUCAAUUUCAAUACUAGUAUUAUUUUAUUAGAAGACACUGUUUUUAUAAGUAAAAUUAACAUUUUCAAUUUCGUGUUUAAUUAAAUACUACUGCCACACAUAAAAUGUAAUAGUUCGCACUCUACUCCUAUUCUGUAGCAUUUGCUGCUGUCAAUUUGUCAACUUUAUUUACACUAUUCCAACUUCAUGAUUGUUGCCAACAUUUGCUGCUGUCAAAUUGUAAACUUUACUUUCACUAUUUGCUACUCAUGUCCCACCUCUAACCUACACUAUUCUCACAUUCCACCUAAUUUGCUACUAUUUCUUUUUCUGUUUUCUUUCCUAUAUUUUCUUGAAGAAUAAUUGGAUUUAUGGAGUGAUAUAUAAUGUGAGGAGAAUCAGCUUUUCCAUAUUUUUUCUAUACUCUAUUGGUAUCUGAGACGCACUUGAUGUUGAAGUUAGGAGAAUAUAGAAAAAGAUCUCCUUUUUUUUUCUAGAUUUCUGGCGUAAUUAUAAUUUCUGUACAUGAACUUUAAUAAAUUGAUAUUACAACAUGGAGUACAUAAGAUUGCAUAAUGAAUAUAAGUACACGAGUCGUUACAAAAUUAAAUAUCACUGAACUACUGCUUAGCAAGUAGUACAAGUACUUUGGUAUCUUCUUUGCUCGUCUUCCUUUUUUACACUUUUUCUUCUAAUUUUAUGAAUUAUAAGAGGUAUGUAACUCUACUGUUCCAUACAGGGGUGUAUUAAGGGUGGGAAUUGAUCAAUUCGAUUCAAUUGUGAAUGUUAUCGGUUUAACAUAUCGGUUAAUAAGAUAUCGGUUAUCAAUUAAUCAGUAAUCAAUCAUUAUCGGUUCGGUUAUCGAUUUAUUCAAUAAGAUAAUUCAAUCUCGUUUCUCAACGAAAGAAGUAAUGAAAGAUAAUAUAAACUGUAUAAAGAAUAUAAUAAACUUUCUCGAUUAUUAUAAGUCUCUCAAAGAAUAUAAUAAACCUUACAAGAUUGUUAUGUAUGUGCUGAAUGAUAAAUUUGGGAGGGGUUAGAAGAGUAUACAGAGAAUUGGAAGAAUUGGAAAAAUUAUACACCUAAGGGUAAAAUCAUAUUUUUAUAAAAGUUAUUGGGUUAUCGGUUAAACUGCUAAAAAAAUUGGACAAAUUGAGGCCCGAACCGAUAACCCAAUAAUAAAAUAACACUAAACCAUUACCGAACCGUUAGCCCAAUAACCCAAUACUGAUGUAAAAGAAGAAUUUAUGUUAAAUUUCAUUAAAUUUGUCCAAGAUCAUGUUUUAGAGCUAAGUCCAAACAUAUGGACUUAUUUUCAAGAAGCGCAAGAAGUCCAAAAACCUCAAGAUUGAUUUCAAGAAGCAAAGAUUCUUUCCUUCUUAAAAUAUGAUUUAUUUUAUUCCUUUUAGAAUAAGAAUUUUCCUUUUAGUACAAUUCUAUUUUCUUUUCCUUGUAUAAUAGGGAUUUUACUUUCCUUGUGUUAGUUAUCUUAUUUUCUUAUUAGAAUAGGGAUUAUAAUUAUCAAAGGAGAGACUAGGUCUAUAUAAAUAGUUCUUUUGCCUUGUAGAAAAGAUUUUCACGUUUUUUGAGGCUUGUCAUAAUUUUACAAUAGAGUAUUUUUUCUAUUUUGUCUUCUUUAUCCUUAUUUUUUGUUCCAAGCAAGGUGGUGAUAGUCUUUAUCUUAUUUUUAAUUGUGUAUAGUAUUUCUUUAUCGCGUUAAUUGAUUCCAAGUGGUGACUUCAGGGACUUGUUUAGUUCUUGAUCUUUCAAGAACACGUUUCUUGAUCUACAUUUGUUCUUCUGAUAUCAUAAAAUCAUAACUUUCAUUGAACUGGUACAACAUCAAUAUUUACUUGUUUUGAACGAGUAAAUAGUCUUUCGUAUAUUUCAUAUCGUCAUCUUUCACCUCGUUUCUGAAUCAUUAGAUUCCGAGUCGUAAAACUUGAGAUAAGUUGCUUCUUGAAAUCGACCCACAAACCACAUUUUCGUUUCAAGAUCUUCUUUGUUAACUCUAAGAAUCACAACAAGUACCUAUUACCUAAUAAAACUUUUUUCAGUUUGGGAUAUUGAUUUUACGCGAUAUAUGCCAGCCCUAGGGUGUAUAUAGCAUUAUGACCGGAUGCAAAAUCUAAUAAAAUUAUAAUAAAUGGUAGAUAUGAACCCAUAGCUCUAAAAAUAUAAUGAGUUUAAUGUUAAAAAUUUAAAAUUAAAUUAUAGGAUUUAAAUCCCGAAUCCGCCUCUGAAUCUGUAUGUAUCUUUAUGUUGAAGUCAGAAAGUAUUUUAAUAGGAGGAAAAAGGAGUGAGAGUCAUGGGUUCGAACUUAUCAAGUGGAAACUAAACCACUUGGGCUCCCUCUCUAUCAUACUCAAUUGAAAAGGAAAACCCCAAAAUUCGUAUCUCAAAUAAAUAAUGUUAUCUUAACUGUACAAUUGGAAUGUCAAAUGCUCAUUUUCUGUCUGAGCAUGACAAGAUAAUCACAAAGAACAGACGGCUAAGUUUUUAUUAUUGGUAAUGGCGUGAACUCGAGCUAUAUAUAUAUAUGAUAAUGUUUAAAAUAUAUGAGUCUUGGUGGGUUGUGGAAGCAGGGAAAAUCUACUAAACCAACUAUAGGCCACAUCUCAGUACGUACUUUCCAUUUCCAACUUUCUAGUGUUAGCCCUAUGAGUAGUGGAGAUGUGACUUUUUUGGAAUAUACCCUCGAAAGAUACUUUCUUUUUGGAUUUGAAAUAAUGCUUUUUCCAACAACAACAACCUAGUAUAACCCCACUUAUUGGGGUCUGAGAAGGGUAGUGUAUACGUAGAUCUUACCCCUACUCUAGGGUAGAAAGGCUAUUUCUAAAUAGACCCCCGGUAUCCUUUCCUCCAAGAACUUCCCACCUUGCUCUUGAGAAGACUCGAACUCAAAACUUCUCGAUUGAAAGUGGGGCUUGCUUACCAUCAUAGCAACCCCUCUUGUCAUUGAAAUAAUGCUUUUUCCAAUUAUCACAAUUCUUAUCUUCC
rnacentral:lncRNA from 1 species